rnacentral:rRNA from 1 species
CCUACGGGGGGCAGCAGUGAGGAAUAUUGGUCAAUGGGCGGGAGCCUGAACCAGCCAAGCCGCGUGAGGGAAGAAGGUACAGCGUAUCGUAAACCUCUUUUGUCAGGGAACACAGGCGGGGACUAGUCCCCGGAUGAGGGUACCUGAAGAAAAAGCAUCGGCUAACUCCGUGCCAGCAGCCGCGGUACUACGGAGGAUGCGAGCGUUACCCGGAUUGAUGGGGGUUAAGGGGUGCGCAGGCGGCCGGUUAAGUCAGCGGGAAAAGCCCGGGGCUCAACCCAGGCGAGCCGUUGAAACUGGCAGGCUGGAGUGGGAGAGAGGUACGCGGAAUGCGCGGUGUAGGGGUGAAAUGCUUAGAUAUCGCGCAGAACCCCGGUUGCGAAGGCAGCGUACCGGCUCCACACUGACGCUGAGGCACGAAAGCGUGGGUAUCGAACAGGAUUAGAUACCCGAGUAGUC